rnacentral:misc_RNA from 1 species
UAUACGGUAUUAAAAUAUAUAUAAUUGACUAAUAUUAGAGCUAUUGUCAAAUUUAUGGUAAAACUGUAAUUGUUGAUAUGAAAUAUGGUCUUGUAAUGCAUUUGAAGUAAAAAAUGUCUAGAAUUUUACUUCAAGGUUUAUAAAACAUACCAUCUCAGUAAACACUGUUGUAUAUAAUAUGUAUAAAAUUACUGUCUGUUCGUAUAUCACAGCCAAAACUCAAAAACCAGUUUCAAUACAAAAUGGAAAACAUUGUAACACUUAUAUCUAAUAGAAUCGUUCUUAAAGCUUGUUCAUACAACUGAUUCAACUUUCUGUUGUUCAUAUUUAAACGUUUUUAACCCUUCUUGUAACAUCUUACAAGGUCAAGGUCAACCUUUAGUGCAAUCCUUGCUUUAAUUUGAGCACUUUCAUGAAUAUUUGAUAUGUAUAAAUAAGUUAAUCAGUUGAUACAAGCAAGCUUUAAAAGAAUUAAUAUCACAUCAAGCGACCCUGGGGCCAAACAAACAAGUAUAUUAGGUUGUGGGUUACAGUUAAGCGACAAAGUCCAACGGUCGGUUGAAACCACCCUUCCUGUUCAUGUAUUGUCUAUAUUUCCGUUUCAGUACUAAGUGAACAUCUCCUUCAACAUUACCUUCGACUUUCUUACCUUUUGUGGUAUCGAAGCCGCAGAAACCCAUAACCUUCAACAUUUCUUGCUCCUCGGGCGUUUUUCCCUCCAAAUCUGCGGGCGUGACUAUGGGCCGUUCGCCGAAGUUCUUUUUCGGUUUGGGCACGAAUGACGUGGUCGGUGUCGGCGAUAUUGAUCGCGAUCUUCUUCUUCGUGGGGAGGGUGAGCGUCGGCGUUCGGGGGAGCGCCUCCGACGGUCUAGAGAGCGGGAUCGUGACCGGGUCCUAGGCCUUCGCCUCUCGCGGUCCCGGUCGCGGUCCCUGUCCCUUUCCCUGCGGUCACGUCGGUCUUCACGCCGCCGCGGACUCGGCGACCGACCCAUUAAAGCUUCAAGUCAACAGCGUGUAAAAUUUAUAAAAAAAACAAAAAAGAUAACAGUAACACACAACCUAAACGUUCG